CAGCAGCCGCGGUAAUUCCAGCUCCAAUAGCGUAUAUUAAAGUUGUUGCAGUUAAAAAAGCUCGUAGUUGAAUUUCGAGAUCAAUUUGUCGGUCGUGCCUCGGUACGUACUGGCAUUAUUGAUUUCUCCCUUCUGAAGAACCGCGAUGUCAUUAAUUUGGUGUCGUGGGGAAUCAGGACUGUUACUUUGAAAAAAUUAGAGUGUUUAAAGCAGGCGCACGCUUGAAUACAUUAGCAUGGAAUAAUGAAAUAGGACGUUUGAUUCUAUUUUGUUGGUUUUCUAGGAUCGACGUAAUGAUUAAUAGGGAUAGUUGGGGGCAUUAGUAUUCAAUUGUCAGAGGUGAAAUUCUUGGAUUUAUUGAAGACUAACUACUGCGAAAGCAUUUGCCAAGGNUGUUUUCAUUAAUCAAGAACGAAAGUUAGGGAUCGAAGACGAUCAGAUACCGUCGUAGUCUUAACCAUAAACUAUAGCCGACUAGGGAUCGGAUGAUGUUAAUUUUUANGUACUCAUUCGGCUACCG
rnacentral:rRNA from 1 species